rnacentral:pre_miRNA from 1 species
GUGGAAGUCAAGACGAGACGUCUUACACGACACGUAUUGGAGUGAGUCCCCCGUCCAGGGGACACUAAAUAUGCAUCUAAUACUGUCAUGUAAUGACUUCUCGCGACUCAUCUAU